AGUCAAACCCCUGACCUACAUGAUCAGCAUGAGCUCUUGUCCUAUCUUCAAAGAGGACUUCACGGGGUUCACUGGUCCGAGAAAUGGUGAUUCUUCUAACAUAUCAAGGAACUCUGGGAAAUAAUCACCAACUUCUUCAUCUACUGCUCCAACAAGACUUAUCUGCCGCAUAGGACCUGCUCGGGCUAAGUUCAACCAUGCACAUGACAACGCCAAAGGAAAUGGCAAAACUUAAAGAAUAGAAGGAAAGGAGAAUCCUAGAUGACAUCAUGGAACAGAGCUGCUUACCUCUGGGCUUGUUACUUGAGAAAGAAACUUAUUUUGUCCUAGCUACUGUAUGUGUGAUCUCUUUGUUACAGUGGUUUAGCCUAUAUCUUGUAUACUUUGUACUAAGGGAGGCAAUACUCUGUAUUGCACAGAUGACAUCUGGAGCAUCAUCUCCUGCUCUGGGCUUAAAAAAAAAGUCUAUUACAAGAGCACACCCGAAAGAGAACAAUCAAGAUGAUUAGUGACUUGGAAACCAUACAGAUUGGAGGAAGAGUGAUGAAAUUAAAAAUAUUUCAAAGGUAUAUGAAAUGAUUAAAGUGGGGACACAAUAAUCUUCAAAUACUUGGAAGCUUAUCACAGAAGAGUAGACUUAUAUAGCCUUAAAUAAAGAACAAGAAU